AUUCCACAUAGAUAAAAAUUGAUCAGUUUCUCCAUUUGGGCCCUUUGAAGGUCCAUUGAAGACCAUUGAUAUUUGAUCAAUUCGCUUUCAUAGUCAAUAUUCAUUUUUUUAUUAAUUCAAAACUUUUUCAAGCAAAAGUUAGCACCCCAUUUUUUAUUUUUCGAUUGAAAGUCAAAAGUAACCUCGUCAUUGGAUUGAAAGUUGUUUGUAGGUCAUAUAUAGUCCAUUGUCAUUAGUCUAUCAAUCAUCAUUUAUGGGAUAUUAAUUAAUUAAAGAAUAUUAUUCUGACGGACGAGUGCGCAUGCGCAUGAGCACAUACGCAACGCUUGCCGCGUCAUUCAUACUACGUUAAUUUUCAUCUAUUGCUAAUCAUUUUUAUCUUCAAUCAUUAUUUGAAUUCGUUUGCCAAAAGAAGUUCUAUCCUACUCGUGAAUUUUCGAUUUAAGGAGGGUCAUCUCGAAUUUUUCAUAAAAACAUCUGUUCUGUUAAAAAAGGUGAUAUGGAGUAAAUAGCGGACAGACCGGUCAUUGACGGUUCAUUGUAUAUUAGUUCGAACAAUGUCCUUUAUUUUGUCCUUAAAAAUAAGAAGUCUUCAACAUUCUCUGUGAUUCUAUCAUGAUGGAGACAUUCAUAAAUAAUCGUAAAAUUUCAACAUUCUUCAUGAUUCAUCAUGAACUUUUUGGUGGUUUAUCAUAACAGUUCUGUUAAAAUUUAAAGCUUAAAUAUCCAUUAUUUGCAUUCAACGAACGCACUGGACAACUUAAUACUUAAUCAUACAUUAAAGUUAUUUUGCAGGCUGCGAUUCCUUGACAACGUCAAACGAUCAGCGGUUGCUGCACUGUGUCAAGGUUAGGUAGCCCUUGUUGCAAUUCUCAUUUGUGGUUAGGUUGCACAUGGUUAGCAAUAGGGGUUGAUCCCGUUUCCUUAAGGUUAUCACUGUGACUCUAUGAUUUUAUAAAAUGAUGCGAGGACGCAACCGAGAGUGGAGGAGGAUGUUUGGGGCGCGAGCCCAGGUUGACCUGAUCCGGUGCGAUUGUCGCGUAGGGAAGGAUACGAUCCCUGUUGGACUGGUGGAGUAUGUGGGAAGAGUUCUCGGAAAUGAUCCGGAUUAUCGUGCGUUAAUGCGGAUGUUGGAUGAUCGAUUUUUUGAGGGGAAGCUUCGGGGGUACACAAUGUGGAGGACGAAGGUACACAAGGACACCUUUGGGUUUACAGAUUUCACGCAGAGGAAGAUUUUUUUGCAAGAGUGCCUUUUUUCUGCUGGUCUCAGUAGGACCGUUUUAGUGAGGAUUAUGAUGCAGGAGCUAUGUCAUGUUUAUGUGGAUAUGAUGGGUGGAAACCGGGAGGAAAACCGGUCCCAUGGCCCUAACUGGAGGAGGGAGGUGGUUAGGUUGAAUAAGGCUUUGGGUUGUGACAUUGAAGAUGAGGGUGAUGUGGACUGGAAAAAACUGAGACGGGUAGGGGUGAAUAAAGUAUAUAUUUGUGACAGGUGUGGGCUAAAAGUAAUCAGGAUGAUUAAGCGGACUCCUGAUGCCAAGUUUUUUUCCUGGUUUCCUCGGCAUGCGGAGAGGUGUGGAGGGGAGUUUAAGUUAUCGCCAUAGGAGAGUCGAACUGACGGGGAGUAGCGGGAUGCAGAAGGGUGGAUUUUUGAGGGUGAAGAUGAUAUCAAUUUUAAUUCUAUUUUCGGAAACUAAGGAUCUCCAGCAUUGGGUCGGUCAUUUGUACGACCCUUUUUGACCUUUUUUCCAACGGUGACUUUCUAUCGGCCGGUUAUUGGCGGAGUGAUACAAAUAUAUAUAUACACACAUACCCAAAUAUAGAUUAUUAAUACGUUUUUAUGUACCAGGAGAUCAAUAUAAAUACAUAUGAGUAUAUAUUUAUCCAUA